AAGCGUGCGUAGGUGGUGAUUAAGUCUGUUGUGAAAGCCCUGGGCUCAACCCUGGGAAUUGCAGUGGAUACUGGGUCACUAGAGUGUGGUAGAGGGUAGCGGAAUUCCCGGUGUAGCAGUGAAAUGCGUAGAGAUCGGGAGGAACAUCCGUGGCGAAGGCGGCUACCUGGACCAACACUGACACUGAGGCACGAAAGCGUGGGGAGCAAACAGGAUUAGAUACCCUGGUAGUCCACGCCCUAAACGAUGCGAACUGGAUGUUGGGUGCAAUUUGGCACGCAGUAUCGAAGCUAACGCGUUAAGUUCGCCGCCUGGGGAGUACGGUCGCAAGACUGAAACUCAAAGGAAUUGACGGGGGCCCGCACAAGCGGUGGAGUAUG
rnacentral:rRNA from 1 species